rnacentral:rRNA from 1 species
UACAGAGGGUGCGAGCGUUGUCCGGAAUCACUGGGCGUAAAGGGCGCGUAGGCGGCUUGGUAAGGUUGCGGUGAAAGCCCGGGGCUCAACCCCGGGUCGGCCGUGGCAACUGCUGAGCUAGAGCACUGUAGAGGCAGGUGGAAUUCCGGGUGUAGCGGUGGAAUGCGUAGAGAUCCGGAAGAACACCGGUGGCGAAGGCGGCCUGCUGGGGCCAGUGGCUGACGCUGAUGCGCGACAGCGUGGGGAGCAAACAGGA